CGUGCUGUAGGGACUUUUUAGGUUAAUAAUACAAACUUGCUCGGGGUUUUACGAGACUUUCGUUAUUAUAUCAUUUUGGUCAUUGUAUAGUUGGGCUGGUAGAAACUUUGUUUUCUUGAAAAACCAAACGAAAUUCGUAAAAGGUGGGGCCAUAACCUCUAGAUAUCAUCUGCACAACUACUGAAGGACAUCGCUAUCAUCAUCCUUUCACAAGGCUGCUUUUGCAAUGUUAUCCACAGGUGCAAGCAGAUAUUAACAACUUCAAGAAUAACAAAAAAUCAAAGAUGUCGAGACAUCAUACUGGACACAAAAGUAAACAUCAUCCACACUUGAAAUCAAAAAAAUCCAACAAUGUGGAAUCACUGUUACCAGUAUUGAAAAACUUCAGAAAUGAGGAAAUUGAUGGACCAUUUCAAGGAUCUGCACCAGUUCAUUUAUAUAAAGUAAACAAGUAUAAACGUGGGAAAGACCUCCAUAUGGGAAGUGACACCUGUGAU